GGCUGGUUGGAAGGUAGUCAGUAAUCUCAACUGACGGUUCACAGUCACAGAUCCAACUCCUUAUUUACUCUUUCCCCCUUCUCACAACUGCACUCAACUAGUCUAAA
ensembl:Y_RNA Y_RNA Y RNA